CAAGCCUCGUCAGGUGAGAUCAAGCCCAUACUCAUGUCUGAGCGGCUGUGGGGUGUACUUAAAGCCCGAGGUGUGCAGCGUGACACAUUGGAAAAAAUGCAGAACGAAAAGAUUGACGAGGAUGUCAUUAUUGAAAUGACGGAUGAAGAACUCAGCGAGUACAUUCCUCGUAAGGGUGACCGAGUUGUCGUUAAGGCUUUCGUCCGGAAGGAGAACAGUGAAACUCAAACUCAGAAGAGGAAGUUUACACUGCUCGA